rnacentral:piRNA from 1 species
AGCUACACCAGGCUCUGGAGUUGGUUGCA